CCUACGGGAGGCAGCAGUGAGGAAUAUUGGUCAAUGGACGCAAGUCUGAACCAGCCAUGCAGCGUGCAGGAUGACGGCUCUAUGAGUUGUAAACUGCUUUUAUACGAGGGUAAACCGCGAUACGUGUAUCGGGUUGAAAGUACCUUACGAAUAAGGAUCGGCUAACUCCGUGCCAGCAGCCGCGGUAAUACGGAGGAUCCGAGCGUUAUCCGGAUUUAUUGGGUUUAAAGGGUGCGUAGAUGGGUUGAUAAGUUAGUGGUGAAAGUUCGGGGCUCAACCCUGAAACUGCAUUUAAUACUGGUGGACUAGAGAACAGUUGAGGUAGGCGGAAUGCAUGGUGUAGCGGUGAAAUGCUUAGAGAUCAUACAGAACACCGAUUGCGAAGGCAGCUUACCAAACUAUAUCUGACGUUGAGGCACGAAAGCGUGGGUAUCAAACAGGAUUAGAUACCCGAGUAGUC
rnacentral:rRNA from 1 species